GUCUCCAUAGCGACAAGAACUCUGCCUCUUGUGUCUGAGAUACGCUGUUGACUGGAUCUUACAUCCAAGGUUUACUCUGCUUUUCAUUCCCUCUCCUCUGUACAGAAGUCUCCCCAUCGCCACCAGCAUUCCAGUUGGACCUCAGGAGCCUAAAGUAUUUCUGUUCAGGUAUGGGCACCUCAUACUGAUGGCGAGGCGUGUAUAUCUGUAUUUGAGGACAGAAAGCAGCCUACAAGUCCACAUGGAUAAGAGUACUUAGCAGCUGCAAGAAUCUGGCCACCUACUGAUUUAAUUAUCUCACCCAUGCAACAUCGGUUUCUGGAAAGCAAAUCUAAUGUCCCUUUGCAGAGCUAAACCUAGUGAGGAAGCCUCAAGUAAGUGCGGUGUAAAUAGUUCGUGAUGUUUCUGCCGUAAAUUACCUAGAAGACAUGGUGUCCAGGCGAUCACAAGAUAUAAGAGAUUCAAGAACACUCAGGAAAUGAAAGCAAGCCCAAAACCGACAUUUUCGGAACAAGAAGAACUGGCCUGGAGAAUGUUCCAUUAAUAGACUCCCUUUCUGUGGCCAGUUACCUAAGUGGGUAAUAUCUCUAAUUCAUGGCUUCUAAAUAUGGGGUCCUUGGAUCCCUAAAAUCCAUGAAAUGGUAAGCAAAAUUGUGUGUAUAUGUAUUUAUGUGCAUUUUCUUGGGGAGAAAAUGACUCUCCUCAGAUUUUCGAAAAUAAUUACUAAAUUCAAAAAGGCCUCGAAUAAUGGGGUUUAGUUUCUAGCUAGCAAUUUACACGUGUA
rnacentral:lncRNA from 1 species